GAUGAAGAACGUAGCGAAAUGCGAUAAGUAAUGCGAAUUGCAGAAUUCCGUGAGUCAUCGAAUCUUUGAACGCACAUUGCGCCCUCUGGUAUUCCGGAGGGCAUGCCUGUCUGAGCGUCAUUGUCAACCCUCAAGCUCAGCUUGCUGUUGGGUCCCCGUCGUUGCUUUAAUGGCGGACCCGAAAGGUAAUGGCAGAGUCCGUGAGACCCUAGACGCAGCGAGCUUCUAGCACGCGUCUGGACGUUUUUCGGGCUCGGUCUUAACUAGAUGAUAACUUCCGAUUGACCUCAGAUCAGGUAGGGAUACCCGCUGAACUUAAGCAUAUCAAUAAGCGGAGGA
rnacentral:misc_RNA from 1 species